rnacentral:rRNA from 1 species
GACGAACGCUGGCGGCGUGCUUAACACAUGCAAGUCGAACGGUGAAGCGCUUGCCUUUUUGGUGGGUGUGGAUGAGUGGCGAACGGGUGAGUAACACGUGAGUAACCUGCCCUCUUCUUCUGGAUAACCUCAUGAAAGUGGUGCUAAUACGGGGUAUUCCGGGUCUGUCGCAUGGCGGGUUUGGGAAAGAUUGCGCCUUUGGGUGUUUUCGGUGGGGGAUGGGCUCGCGGCCUAUCAGCUUGUUGGUGGGGUGAUGGCCUACCAAGGCGGUGACGGGUAGCCGGCCUGAGAGGGUGGACGGCCACACUGGGACUGAGACACGGCCCAGACGACUGCGGGAGGCAGCAGUGGGGAAUAUUGCACAAUGGGCGCAAGCCUGAUGCAGCGACGCCGCGUGAGGGAUGGAGGCCUUCGGGUUGUGAACCUCUUUCGCCAGUGAAGCAGGCCUGCUCCUGUGUGGGUGGGUUGACGGUAGCUGGAUAAGAAGCGCCGGCUAACUACGUG